CAAAGAAUAGUUUAGUUUAGAAUCCUAGCUUUGGGAGUUAGGGGUAGAAGUUAGAAUCUUUUUUCUUUGA
rnacentral:tRNA from 1 species